UCUAAGGCUUUCAUUAGGCACUGAAAUUAAACAUGAAAAACCCACUGUAGUCGAUUGUGGAUUACCCUGGUGAAUUCUUGUUUUUAUCUGUAGGAGGCAGGCUUCUUAGGUGGCCCCCCUCAUGACCGCCUCCUGGUAUGCACACCCUUGUGGUAUAAUCCCCUCCCCUUGAGUGGGAGUGGUUUAGAGACUCGCUUCUAACCAAUAGAAUAUGGUAAAGGUGAUGGACUCUCUCUUCCUGCGAUUAAUUUACAAAGGAUUCGGAUCUACUUCUUGCUAGGUGACUCUCCACUGCCUUCUUGGCUUGUGCACUUCGAUGAAGCAAGCCGCCAUGGUGGGGAGGCCCACAUGGCAAGGGACUGAGGGCCCCCUUUGUGUCAACAGCCAGCGAGGAACUGAGGCCCUCAGCCCAACAGCCUGUGAGGAACUGAAUCCUGCCAGCGACUACAAGCUCUUAGAACCUUGAGACGGCAGCAGCCCAGCCAACACCUUGAUGGCCUUCUGUGAGCAUCGCUGAGCAGAGGACCCAGCUAGGCCCUGCCUGGGCUCCUGACCCAGAGAAACUGGUGAGAGUAGGAUAGAUGGUGCCAUUGCAGCAGUGAACACGCCUCAAGGACGGCCUUUGCAACCCCAGGACCCCCGUGGGGGUUGGUUCAAGGGGCGCAUCUCCCACCUCAGUGGUGCCUCCCUUGUGAGCAUCUGGGCCCUGCAUGUGGAAUCUUAGUUACCCGACCAGGGAUCAAACCUGCACCCCCUGCAUUUGAAGUGCAGAGUCUUAACCACUGGACCACCAGGGAAGUCCCCCGUCCCUACUCUUGAACAGGGGCACAGAUCCUUGAGGCAUCAGCUGUCUGCCAUGGGCUACAGGAAACCCCUGGAUAAGUAUUUUUGUUUCCAACUUUAUUGAGAUACAAUUGAUAUAACGUGUGAGUUUAAGGUGUAUAAUGUGGUGACUUGAUUCAUGUGUAUAUUGCAAGGUGAUUGCCACAAUAAGGUUAGUUGAUGCAUCCAUCACUUCACAUAGUUAGCACUUUGUUGUUGUUGUUGAGACCAUUUAAGUCUGGGAUGUGGUGAGAACAUUUAAGAGCUACUCUCUUAGCAACUUUCAAGUGUGUGAUACAGUACUGGAGUCCUUAUCUGCUGUGGGGUAAGAGGUUGGGAUAAAGCCAGGGUUGAAAUGAGGAAGGAGGGGAUAAUAGAUGAACUGAGGAUGUUAGUUGGUUACUUUGGUUAAAAGUU